AUAACGGUGAACGAACAUAUUCUCUGGAGGAAUAUCCAGGAGACAAUCCCACAACAAACAGGUAAAAUUACUAUGUAUGAUCAUUACUAUGUUUUAUGCUUCCAUUCUGAAAUAAAAUUAAGGGGUUCACAAAAUACAUAUUACUUUCCUCUAAAGCAUUUAUUCAUCCAUAAUUAUAUUUGUAAUGUUUAUCAUACCCUAAAUGUUUACAGUAUGAUAGUUAAAGGUUGAGGUUGUUGGCAGAGAGCCUCCACUCUUCCUCUAACAAGCUAGAAGUAAUUUAUUAUGCUGUUGAUGAAGGUAAAAAUGAAAUAUCCUGCAUAGUUCUCCUCCUCUGCUGUCCUCUGAUCAGAACGGAGUCCCUAGCAACGACCCGUUUUGCCUAGCAACGGUCUGGCAUUCUGUUGUUGUUCUGGUAAUCCUACACUGUCAACCUUUAAAUAAAUCUAUGUGCUGUCUCAUGAUCAGAAUGUUCCCGAUGAGGGCCUUGUUGCAGAAGGACCAAGCGGUCAGUCAUCUUUAGAAUGUUUGAGAGGAAAGCAUCUUGUCAGUCCAAUAAGAGAGCACCUGCUUCAGGACAGACCAAACAGAGAUUCAUCAGAGCCUGCCGGAGAGGCAGUCUCCAGAAAGACCCACCCAGUGCUAGAAUUGCCACCCUCCACCUACUCACACUGCACUUUUCAAUUUUGUGGGGAUCAACAAGAUAUGCGAAUCGGACCAGAAGCACAAGACAUGUUAGAGAAGCAACCAGGAUGCAAUGUGCCCGCUACUCCACCUGAUCAGCAAGAGACACCAAACCAACAGGCAGAGACAUUUUUGUUGGAUGGAGAUAAUCCAGCGUAUCCUGGAGCUCCACUGACAAAGGGACAAAGUUUAAUCUUACUGAUGUCUUAUGUACUAAGGCACAAUGUAACAGGUGUGGCACUUGAACAUCUACUGAAGAUUGUCAAUGAACAUUUCCCUGGAAUGGUACCAGUAACCACAUACCUUUUUUCACAAAUCUUAUGGACAAUAUGGAAAUUAUGUCCCCCAUUUUUACUGUCCAGGAUGUGAAAACUACUUAGGGGUAAAUAAUACCAGUGAACUAAAGUGUGAUGCUUGUAAUGCAGUUAACUGAUUCAGAGAGCUGUCUCAAAAGUGGGUGUUUCUUUCUAGUGCUUAGUUUGGCUUCACAAAUCAAAACAUUGCUUGAACAAAACCUAAGUUUAAAAAAAGAUGUCAUUUCAGAUAUACAGUGUGGAGAAGAGUACCAGAAACUCAAAUAAUCAGGUGAAUUAGGUGAGGAUGACAUAACUUUAAUUUGGAACUGUGAUGGAAUUCCAGUUUUCAGGAGUUCAAAGUAUCAAAUCUGGCCCAUUCAGUGCCAGGUUAUAGAACUCAAACCUAAAGAACGCAAGGCAAAUAUCUGUCUUCCUUGUAUCUGGUUUGGCGAGAAGAAGCCAAACUUCUUAACAUUUUUUAAAGCCAUUUGUUAAUGAACUGCAAAUUUUAGAACAAAAUGGCAUUAAAUGGAAGGACUCAGCAAAUGUACAACAUGUCUCCAAAGUGUAUGCUCUGAUAUGCAGUUCAGAUUCAGUUGCUCGCUCACUUCUAAGAAACACCAAACAGUUUGAUGGCUUUUAUGGAUGUGAUUUUUGUUACCAUGUUGGUGGUGGUCCUUACACAAACAGAGGCCCAAAACCACAUCUUAGAACUGAAGCUAAGCAUUUUGAUCACGCAAUGGCUGCAACACCAGACAGUCCUGUAAUGGGAGUAAAAGGACCUUCACCAUUAAUGAAACUCACAAAGUUUCAAAUGAUAAAUGGAUAUGUUCCAGAGUAUCAGCAUUGUGUCUGCCUUGGUGUGACAAGACAAUUGGCAAAACUGUGGUUUGACUCAAGAAAUCAUAACAAAGAGUGGUACUUAGGAGCAAAAUCAGACCGCAUUGACAAAGAGCUCAUUGCAAUUCAACCCCCUGUUGAGAUAACAAGAGUACCACGAUCUGUGGCAGACAGAUCAAAAUAUUGGAAAGCGUCAGAGUGGAGGUCAUUCCUGUUAUUCCAUGCCCUGCCUUUACUGAAUGGGGUCUUACUAAAGAAGUUCUGGAACCACUUUUUUCUGUUUGUGUUCGCAAUGCACAUUCUUUUGGGAGAAAAGGUGAAACGCUGUGAUAUUGAAGUAGCUGAAAGAGCUCUCAAGAAGUUGUCACUGCAGUUUGAGAAGUUAUAAGGUGCAGCAAAUAUGACAUUUAAUGUCCAUCUUCUGACACACCUUGCGGCAAGUGUCAGGAACUGGGGCCCUUUGUGGGCCACAUCAACCUAUUCCUUCGAAUCAUUUAAUGGCACUUUGUUACAGUACUUCCAUGGGACAACACAUGUUCCAGAGCAAAUAGUUAAAAGAUUUCUUUGCUGGAGGAGUCUAACACAAAAAGCCGAAAAGUACAUGGUAGAUGCUAAUGAAGGGGUGAAAUGCUUUUUUUUCCACAUCUCCUAAACAGCAAUGUAUCAAGUUCUAAUUCAUC